ensembl:lncRNA
AUGUAUUUAACAAUAUUAUAAACCGAUAGCUGAAAUCCAAAUAUUGUGCGCUUAGAUAGCCUUUCAGGGUCACAAUAUCACUAGAAUAGAAUCUUUGACCUAUACAGUAUAACUAAAUUUUGACAAUACUUCAAAAUUUUUAGGCAGUUUACUUUAUGGAUUCGUGGUUGUUAUAUGUAUCUAGUAUGAUUUUAAAAUAUAGAUCAUUUACUAAAGCAUAUUUGAUAAUGUAAACUCUAUUUCAAGCAAUUUGGUUUCCACUUUCUGUUUCCCUCAACAGUCUAAGACAGAAGAAAACUGCAGAAGAUUGCUACCCAUUCAAGUAGAAAAACUCAAGCUGGAAAAUUAACAGCACAGCUGGAAAGGCUAAUGAACUUAGCAUUUAAAAAUGCUUGUAGAGCUGCCAGAUCUACCCCUUGAUCCCAGAGGAGGAACUUCCGUGGUCAUCCCAGUCAUGUGAUGUAAGGGCAAUGACAGCAAUGGUAUAAGGAAGAGUCUGGAAGCCACCAUGCCCAGAACCAUCAGCCUCAAGCAAAUCAUCUUCCCUUGUCCUCCUGCUCUCAUCUUACCCUUCAGACAAAAUCCAUGAAUUAUUGAUCAAAUUUGGAUCUCUGUGUGCUGUCCUCCAAUUUAAUACCUUCUCUGUUGCUGUUUUGUUUUCUUUCUUCUGGAACGUGGCAGAGUGCUUCAAGGUGGGUCGCAGAUGUCUGACUCAAUCUUCUACAUUAAUAGGUUUUCUCUGUAUUGUUAUAAUUAAUUUUAAAUUGAUUUUAUAAAAUUUAUAAUUAUAGGAUUUUUUUCAUGUUCAAUUCCGUUUAAAUUUUUUCCUAUUUGCCCAUUCUUCUUUUUUCUUAUCACUUUGAAUAUACUGAUCUCACACUGAAAAGACACAUUGAUAGAAAUUAAUUUUUGAACUGAGUCCAAAGAUUUAAACAUCUGGUUAUACCCUGAUGAAAAAAGAAAGAAGACAAUCUCUUUAUCAUAUACUGAUCUCACACUGAAAAGACACAUUGAUAGAAAUUAAUUUUUGAACUGAGUCCAAAGAUUUAAACAUCUGGUUAUACCCUGAUGAAAAAAGAAAGAAGACAAUCUCUUUAUCAUAUCAUGUCUUUGUUUUGAAGUUAUUACUUAAAUUUUGUUAAAAUAAAUUGUGGUUUAUUGCAUUAUUUUCCUCAUUUCUUCACCUCUUCUUGCAUCUGUUCCUUUGCUAUGGCCUCGCCAUCACAGAUGGCAUGUACUCAUUUCAUCUUGUCUCUGGGCUUGGCUAUGUGACUUGCUUUGGCUGAUGACACAUGAGCAAAAGUCACAGUUUGCAUUCUAAGCGCAAGCCUUGAAGAUCUCACAUGUUCUUGCUUGUUUUAUUUUCUUUCUGGCAGAUCAUGGAAAUAAUAUAACUGUGGGUAGUCUGCUGGUCAGCAGAGCCACCCUAGGUAAUUAAUAGAUAUGCAGUGACAAAAAGAGCUUCCCAGUUGAGCCUAGCCUAUGUCAAUCAGAUUCUAGUAGGUUCACAGAUGCAUGAGCAGUAAGAAAAGUUUACACUUAUUGGAGUGAUUUGUUACAUAGCAAUAAGUAACCAACACAAUACAUUUUAAAAUAUUUUCUCUGGUAAAUCAUUUUCAAAAGUAAUUCUUUCUGUGCUUCUUGCUUAAUAAAACUUUUUGUAAAUCUUACUUUUAAAACGUUAUUCUUCUUUGUCUUGAAUUCCUCAUUGAAAAAAGAUUCAUAGUUUUUUUUUUUUCCUAAUUCAUCUGUCUUUAAAUAGCGAUGAGACUUCCUCUUUGAAG